UGGGGAAUUUUGGACAAUGGGCGGAAGCCUGAUCCAGCAUGCCGCGUGAGUGAAGAAGGCCUUCGGAUUGUAAAGCUCUUUCGGUGGGGAAGAAAUGGCACUUUCUAAUACAGAGUGUUGAUGACGGUACCCGCAUAAGAAGCACCGGCUAACUACGUGCCAGCAGCCGCGGUAAUACGUAGGGUGCGAGCGUUAAUCGGAAUUACUGGGCGUAAAGCGUGCGAAGGCGGUUGUGUAAGUCAGAUGUGAAAUCCCCGGGCUCAACCUGGGAACUGCAUUUGAGACUGCACGGCUAGAGUGUGGCAGAGGGGGGUAGAAUUCCACGUGUAGCAGUGAAAUGCGUAGAGAUGUGGAGGAAUACCGAUGGCGAAGGCAGCCCCCUGGGCCCUUACUGACGCUCAUGCACGAAAGCGUGGGGAGCAAACA
rnacentral:rRNA from 1 species